AAAGGAGAAAGGGUAGAACUCAUUCUUUAACCAUUCUACCUACAGUUGGGAAGAUGUGUGGGAGGAAUUUAGAGCCACCCUGGAGUCAGCGAGGUCUGAACCCAGUAGAAGGAUACUUUAACUUGGAGAACACUUUGAAACAGAUGCUCUCCAUUUGUGGAGUCGUCGGUGGAAACCUAGAGGAAAUGAUUGCUAUCCACGCUUAACCUGGAGCAAGUUCA
rnacentral:lncRNA from 1 species